ensembl:lncRNA
CUGGUCCAGCUUUCAAGCAAUGCUAAGGACUCACACCUAACAUGAUCCCUCACUGUAACCUCUCCCUAUCCAGAGAUACAGUCCAUCUCCAAAUGCAUUUCUGCUUAUGAAUAAAACACCAGGAGAGUGCCAAGAGGGGUCAAUACAACAAGAGUGAACUGAUCCACCUUUGCAGCUACAGAAAAACGGGGAAACGGGGUCACUUGGAAGCAUCAUUCCAUAAACACAUUGUACAGAUCUUAAGGCGUUAUUGACAAGCUUGAUAAUAGCCAUACAAAACAUUAUCUCUACAAACAUGCACAACUGUCAAGUGAUUGUUUCAUUGGGUUUUGUGUUGUUUAGCGCUAAUAAUUAAAAACUUCAAUUAACCAACCGUUAAUUUUAUAAUACUAUAAAGGAUGGCAAAUUAGUGCAAUUUUCUUUCUUGAAUAAAAUUGUCAUCAAAAACAUACAGGUCAAAUGUUUCUCCUUUCUUACGAUGGUUAGAGUCAAGAGAAUAACCUAGAAAACUGCUGAAGUAGCACUUUCACGCUCGAGCAGAAGUCUGAGAAUGAUGCUAGUCUGACUAACAGAGGGCGUGCUGCUAAUGUGCCUGUCCACCUGACUGUCUGCUGAGAGUCAGAGUGGUCAUACAGCCACUACCACAUACUGUGUUCAAGACAGAGAGGAAGAGGUAAAGAAACAGGAGGCACUGCUUUGCACCUAGAAUGGUUGUCCCAGACCAGAAUACUGAGUUUGAUACACAUGUUGUGUGGCAUGGCAAGGGGAGGAGAGGAGGUGGUAAGACACAGAAGUGCUGUUUGUGCAUGUGAGGAGUUCUGUUAAUAAUAUUUUACUGAAGUAAGAAUAUCUGGAGCAAAGAGUGUGUUGAUGAGCAGUGGGGUGUUCCAGGAAGCAGGAUCAUUACCGUAGCCAGUUAACUUUGAUAGGCAGCCAAAUAAAUCUCUUAAUUUUAAUUGAGAAAACUAAACCCAAAUAUGGAUUGUUGGUUGUCAAGUCAAUUAUACCAUUACCAAUUUCAAGUUCAUCAUUCUCAAAAACAAAUGCAGUUAUUUACGUUUUUGGGGGGACCGUUAGCUGGCUAACUCAUUGAUCCUGCUUUCUGGAACAGCCCCCAGGGAGGUGGGACAUGAGAUGCAACCCAUUCAUAAAACAUUUGACAGCAGUGCACAGACACAUGCAGGCUGUUGACAGUGUCCUUUUUCAGAGCAUCUGCACUCUCCAAACCAUCUCCUAUAAAAUGUGAGACAGGCCCAGCUGAGAGCCCUUGGUAAGGCAGUACAUUUUGGAGAGUAAAAGUUCACCAAAGAGAAGACUCUGACCCUACAGGGCUGAAAUACACACCUUAAAAUUCAUACCAUAUCUAAACAAGGUAUUGCUACACGUGACCAAGAGAGAUCGUAAGGCCAAAAUCUAACUGGAUAUCCAUGCACAUAAUUUGAAUUUCAGCACAAAUCCAUAGAUGUCAAUGACAGAUUUACAUCAAAAUUUGAGUUACACAUGCAUACCCAUCUCUGGUCAUGAUUUGGCCCGUACUGCUUGGCAGCGGAAGGUGGAGGUAAUAGGCUGAGCUGACUGGAACAAAACACUGUGCUGAACUUAGGUUAGUGACAACUAAGGGUCUGAACAAAAACCUAACAAAAUAAAUCCACUAUAUUCAGACACCUAAGAGUGGGCACUGAUAAGCAAUAGUACUCAGAGAGAUCAGUGUACAAUGACUGCAUCAGCCACCUUCUUAUAUAGAUUACAAACCUGUCCUACCCCAUAGUAGGUACACUUGGACUCUGAAGAGCAGAAUACUUGAGUUUACUGCAUAGCACAUGCUUAUACUACAUGACGUUUUCAGGUAUUCUGUGUAACUGUAUUGCUUAUAGCAUAAAAAAUUUAACAAAACGUGAUCACUGUAAAAAAAUAAAUUAAUAAGUAUUGAGAGGUUUAGGGCUAAAUGUCUACUGCUCCACUGUGGAAAAUCAUCCAGCUCAUCUGUGUAUGGCAUUUAACCACUACCGUAUUUAAAAACAUUUAUAUUUCAACAAAAUGUCAAAUUGGUUGUCAUGACGGUAUCAAAUGGUAUGUGACUCUGCCCUGAUCAGGCCUAACGGACCUCCCCUCUCCUUGUUGUUGAAGACGGUCAAAGGUUUUAUCCUCAGUGAACUGUGAGUCCUUGGGGGCUCCACUCAACAGAAAUGUUGUGGAGGCAGUAGGGUUGUAAGGGGUGUAUGAACUAGAUUUGACACAGCCAUCUAUAAAUAGUGUGGAUGAGGGACUCCAGUCCAUUAGAAGGCAUUGGGUGUCACCACACACAAUCACCUCAGAGCUCAAAGCCCAGGAUACAGGUACAGGCAGGCCAGCAGAUAGAUGCUCUAACACACAGUUACCUUCUCACACAGUAUCGGUGAGCCUGGGAUAUUAAUGCUUGGAUCUGUGUUGGAGCACAUCUUGUGACACAGGUGAUAUCAAAACAAAUACACAUUUACAGACAGGACUACCGGUUCAGAAGUGACCAGAGACAUUAAAACUAGACAAAACUGAGGUGAAAUGUCUUUCUGACAAGAGCAUUAACAUUUAAGAAUAAAAAAUAACUGGAAAUACCAUAAGCUAAUGGGAAUAUCUGGCUGCUUUAUGGAAUGACAUAUCAAACUAAAUGUCUGUCUGCAUUAUGGAAUGACAUAUCAAACUAAAUGUCUGUCUGCUUUAUGGAAUGACAAACUAAAUGUCUGUCUGCUUUAUGGAAUGACAUAUCAAACUAAAUGUCUGUCUGCUUUAUGGAAUGACAUAUCAAACUAAAUGUCUGUCUGCUUUAUGGAAUGACAUAUCAAACUAAAUGUCUUUCUGCUUUAUGGAAUGACAUAUCAAACUAAAUGUCUGUCUGCUUUGUGGAAUGACAUAUCAAACUAAAUGUCUGUCUGCUUUAUGGAAUGACAUAUCAAACUAAAUGUCUGCUUUAUGGAAUGACAUAUCAAACUAAAUGUCUGUCUGCUUUGUGGAAUGACAUAUCAAACUAAAUGUCUGUCUGCUUUGUGGAAUGACAUAUCAAACUAAAUGUCUGUGAUUUUUGCAUCUGCUCUAAUUGCACUUCAUCUUGAUUUCAUCCACUUGAAGUUUCUGUGACUAAAAUCUGUGUCCGAAAAAGGAAACUGCAGCAUUUUUUCUUGGCUAAUUUGUAAACAGUGUCAACCAUGCAAGUUAGCUUCUCUAUUGCCAAAACUACCUUAAGAAUACUUUAAAAGAAAUAAUGUAAUAACUACAAAAACAUUUGUAAUUCCCAUUACAAGGUCAGUGUGAAUCAACAGGUGAAGUUUUCUAUGUGCAAUACAAGAC